rnacentral:rRNA from 1 species
GUAGUCCACGCCCUAAACGAUGCAUAUUUGGUGUGGGCAGUUCAUUCUGUCCGUGCCGGAGCUAACGCGUUAAAUAUGCCGCCUGGGGAGUACAGUCGCAAGGCUGAAACUCAAAGGAAUUGACGGGGGCCCGCACAAGCGGUGGAGCAUGUGGUUCAAUUCGACGCAACGCGAAGAACCUUACCUGGGCUCGAACGGCCGGCUAACGAUCUUGGAAACAGGGUUACCCCGCAAGGGGGUCCGGUCGAGGUGCUGCAUGGCUGUCGUCAGCUCGUGUCGUGAGAUGUUGGGUUAAGUCCCGCAACGAGCGCAACCCUUGUCCUGUGUUGCCAUGCCGAAAGGCGGAACUCGCAGGAGACCGCCAGCGAUAAGCUGGA